AGCUCAGGCCUUAAACACCUGUUUUUAUUAAUAACUCUGCGAGUCACCAAACACACUAGCUCUCUUUAAGGGUUUGUUCCGAUCAUGUGUGUCAAGUUACAUAAAGGUGGGUCAAGGCAAAGUGUUUCUGGACCUGUACCAUGCAUUAUUAGCCUGUUAGUAGCCUAAACUGACCUUUAUUAGUCUAACAUGAAUCUACUGUCAAUAGUUUAAAUGUAAAGGAAAAAUGGGAAUUAGAAGCAAAUACAGUUAUAACAGAUGAAGACUAAUGGCACAACUUACCCCACACAUGGGGACAAGAUGUGCCACAAAACCACUUUUUUUUAUUUUUUUGCUAAAGCUGUAUUUCUUAAACAGUUUAUAUUGUAGUUGGAGGCAUUACUCUAGUCGUGCUCUUGCACUUUACGAAAAAAUGGAACUUUUUAUCCCACACUCUCCCCUAUUUCAUUCCACUGAAACACAGUGGUGAAUGGACACACCUUUUCCUGACAUUUACGGUCCCCCACUUCACCUAUGCCCAUCCCCCACUCGCUCUGACUAACGGGGUCUCCCGUCAGUAUGAGCAGGGGUCAAGGCAGGUGCUGCUCUCAGUCGAUGAGGAGAACGUGAAGAAGAGGAAGCAAAAGAGAUGGAUGGAAAAGACAGCAACAGAAGCUCGGCAAAAACGGAACGGAAAACCUACAGAACAACUAAACGAAAAUCUCUGGCCAGGUUUUCUGCACGCUUCCAGCUUCUGAAGGACCAUCAUGAAAAGUGCUUAUCCAAGCACACGGAGAAUGAGAAACACCACAUUCAGUCCUCAGGACUGCCACUCCAAGAAAAGGAGAAUACGUCAUCACAGGAGAUGUCAUCUGAAUUAAUCCCAGACUCCAACAGCUGGGUAUGCUCAGAGAGGUUCAAUCCACACACAAAAUACUCAAGUAGUGUGCUACCGUACACCACGUGUUCAAGAAACGAGUCAAUACAGUCUAUCAGGGUUUCCUUGAUGUAGAUUGCAGAGUUGUAAGAUUAAUCAAAUGAGAGACUAAC
rnacentral:lncRNA from 1 species